UGUAACGGCGUUUCUUUUACUGAUUGAGAACACUUUUAAGUUUCAAGCUAUUCAGCAUGGCUUUGGAUUCAACUCAAGGCGCUCAAGGCUAUAAACAUUUUCAAAUUGAAUGAAUUUUCUUGUUGGAUUUGUUCUUGAUAGGCCACGGAACAGGAAACGGAUUUUGAAAUGUAUUUUUAUUGUGAGUUUAUCUGUGCCGGGUGGGGUGGAUUUGUGUCAAGUUUCUUUUCUGUGGUUAGUUGAGAUACAAAUCAAAAUAGUUUUUAUAUUGAUUUGCCAUCGGAAUUAUUAGGCUUGUUUCUGGCGGUGGUUCUGGAGACAGCGGGUCGAUCCAGCUGUAGAACGUCUUCCGGAGGUGGCAGAGUGUGAUGGUCAGCCACGCGGCGCGCGUAUCGACAUUGACCAGAAACUACCGUCUAUCACAUCAUCGUGUGAUAGACGGUAGUUCACAUCAUCAUCGUGACGUAUGAUGGGUCUCAGGUUCGGGUUUCGAUUUCUCGAGUGAGAAAUGUGUGUACAGGCUUAUAUACUGUUAUUAUAGCUGAGUGUGCGUCAGGAAACGUUAUGAGCUAUGAGUCGUGGUCGCCGUGGCUCGUAGUGGUAUUUGACGACCGUCGUGACCUGUGAUAGUCACCGUGACUGCUAUGUGAUGGUCGCCGCGGCACUGAAACGUGACGGUCGUCUUGACAUGCCGCGACUCGCUGCUUUACAGGUCACUGGUCGAGGGCGCUCGAGCUGACGGUGUCUUCCGACGGCUCCACGGUGACCAGCGCCGCCACCGCCGAGACCAUCCGACUCCUGAAAUGCUAACGGCCGUGCACGAACAAGAGGCUCUAAGCAUCCAGGUGCAAGGCAAGCGCCAUGCUCAGGUGUCAUCCGAAGAAGGCCGCACAGUGCACUUUAGGCUGAGCUCGGGUGUAGUGCGCGCCGACGGAUAGCAUGAAAUGACGGGCCGGCCAUCAGAUUUCAGUGCGGGGAUCAAGAUGGUCGGAGCCGAUGUGGCUCGGUUGAUGGUGUGGCAGGGUUGAUUGAGAGUGAAAGCGAGACACCCGGAUCUGUAAAGAAUACGCCGAUACGGGUCUCGACGUCGUCUCGCAAUUUGUGCUAUGUAAUAUGACGGCUAUGCCGUGGUAUCAUUCACUCUCGGUGCGCUAAUAAAUAAUAAAUAGGACAGAGGCUGGAAUUAAGAUAUUAUAUUUGGAUGUAAGGGGCAGGUUUGGGCCAGCGCUAUUUUAGAAAUCGUGAGCGUGCUAGUUGCAAUCAAUCGCGCGCUUCUUGUUGAGCAUCUGUGAGCGAGAAAAUACUUUCUCUGGAACUUAGCAGUUCGUCGUGAAAUAUUUGUAUCUUUGGAGUAAGUUGUCAGAACAUGAAUGCAUUUUUGGUGUCCACUGCAGCUGCUGUUCUGGAACAGAAACAUGCCGAGAUCGGCUGUGUAUGUUUGUUGUGGCAAAAUCAAGCAGCCGUACCAUGAAUCAAAAGCGAUAUGUGAAUUAAAGUGAAUAUAUUUCACUAUUUUUCAGUUUUAUCAUACAGAUCACAGAAAUGCGUCAAAUACUGAUCACACCCGGUUCCAAACAAAAACGCUUGCGAUCACUGGAAAAUAAAUAAACAAUAGAUACCCA